rnacentral:rRNA from 1 species
AUUGAACGCUGGCGGCAGGCUUAACACAUGCAAGUCGAACGAGUGGCGGACGGGUGAGUAAUGCUUGGGAAUCUAGCUUAUGGAGGGGGAUAACUAAGGGAAACUGUAGCUAAUACCGCGUACCAUAGGAUGAGCACAAGUGGGAUUAGGUAGUUGGUGAGGUAAAGGCUCCCCAAGCCGACGAUCUCUAGCUGGUCUGAGAGGAUGACCAGCCACACUGGGACGUAGAAACGGCCUAGACUCCUACGGGAGGCAGCAGUGGGGAAUAUUGCGCAAUGGGGGCAACCCUGACGCAGCUAUGCCGCGUGUAUGAAGAAGGCCUUAGGGUUGUAAAGUACUUUCAGCGGGGAGGCGUUACCCGCAGAAGAAGCACCGGCUAACUCCGUGCCAGCAGCCGCGGUAAUUC